GGGCUGCAGUAUAUUGACUGUACAAAGGUAGCAUAAUCAUUAGUCAUUUAAUUGAUGACUUGUAUGAAAGAUUGGAUGAAAUAUAAACUGUCUCUUUAUUAUUUAUAGAAUUUAAUUUUUUAAUUAAAAAGUUAAAAUGAAUUAAAAAGACGAGAAGACCCUAUAGAGUUUUAUAUUUAAAUUAAUUAAGAUUAUUUAUAAAAUUUUUAAUUGAAAUUAAUUUAUAUAUUUUGUUGGGGUGACAAAAAAAUAAAAAUAACUUUUUUUAAAAAUUAACAUAUAUAAGUGAUUUAAUGAUCCAAUAUUAUUGAUUAUAAGAAAAAAUUACCUUAGGGAUAACAGCGUAAUUUUUUUUUUUAGUUCAAAUAAAAAAAAGAGUUUGCGACCUCGAUGUUGGAUUAAGAUAAAAUUUAAAUG
rnacentral:rRNA from 1 species